UCUCGGCCCAGAGGACGGCAACGAAGCCGCGA
rnacentral:sRNA from 1 species